AUUGCNACGCUGGCGGCAUGCCUUACACAUGCAAGUCGAACGGCAGCACGGGAGCAAUCCUGGUGGCGAGUGGCGAACGGGUGAGUAACAUAUCGGAACGUGCCCAGUCGUGGGGGAUAACGUAGAGAAAUUUACGCUAAUACCGCAUACGAUCUAAGGAUGAAAGCGGGGGACUCGCNAGGGCCUCGCGCGAUUGGAGCGGCUGAUAUCAGAUUANGUNGUUGGUGAGGUAUAAGCUCACCAAGCCGACGAUCUGUNGCCGGUUUGAGAGAACGACCACCACACUGGGGACUGANACACGGCCCAGACUC
rnacentral:rRNA from 1 species